AGUCUUAUAUUCAAUAAUGAUUUUAAAUUGCAAAUUUAAAGGAGAAAGUAUUUCUAAGGCUU
rnacentral:tRNA from 1 species